UCCGACUGUAUGCAGCGCUUCAUGGAGCGCGUGGCUGCGAGCACAUGGAAAGGAGGUCGAGAUUUGAGUUUGAAAGACACGCACCUAUUCAUCCGAAAUGGAAUAUAAAUAAUAAUGCACAAAAUAGAGUCAGAGAACGGGAAGGCUGUUGAAGACCCUUGCCCUUCUCCUCUACUCAUCUGUCAAUUAACCAGGAUCAGCAGAUCUCUAAUGAAGAUCAAGACAUGGACCUGGAUGGAAGUUAUGAAAAGCUCAAUUGGAUCCGAAAGAAAUUGAGAGAGUUAAACAAACAGAGAUCUCAUUAAAAGAAACCGCUGUCAACUCCGUCCUCCCACUCCCUCCCUCCACAGGGGGACUGGAAUGUCCUGUCAUCCAUUUCCUCCCACUCAGAAACACUGUGCUGGUGUGGUGAUACCAUCUUGAGGUACAGGAUCUAGGUAAUGAAUGAACUGGGAUGCCCACACACUGACGAUGGGACCCUGGACAACCUGACACCAAGUGUGGAAAAGGAUGACUGACUUUCCCACCAAAGUCCCGUAUCAUCGGAGAUGGCUACAGCCGAUUGAACACACACACACUCUCUCACAUUCCACACAGGCAGAUGCCUUGCCGCACACAGGACUCAAACAUACACUGACAUACUGCAUACAAAACUUAUUCACACACUAUAAUGCACAUGCCACAAGAUGGUUUGUGUAUGCAGAGCACUGUGUUGCGGCAUUGCUGAGGGUGACAGGUUUCUUUCCCCCAAGAGGCUGCUCUUGGUUUUAUUAAGGUAUUACUGUACUGUAUAGCAGCUGAAGAUAUUCUACCCACACAGUCUAGUUUAGGACUCACUGAAGGAGAUUCUGAAGAUUAGUAAUUGAGAAAUCACCUCCCUAUGGUACUGAUUCAUUUGAGCUCUUACUGGAAGGACCUUUAUGUAAACUGAAAGUGAAGGUAUAAAUAUAUUAUGCGAAUAACAUUUUGUCUGUGUCUUCAUGUUUGUGGUACAAACCAAAGACUUGUGCUGUCUGUGUGAAAAAUAGGAGUUCUAUCUUUACAGUUCUCACUUUUCCUUCCCAUGACUUCACAGUCUCUGUGAAUGGAAUCAUGUUCUAUAGUUGCCUAACCUGUUUCAAUGGGUUGGCUUAACAUACACGUGCAGUAUAGUGAGCCAAAGAGGAGAGAGGAUCAGCUUUCACACUGAAAGGCAUAUUUGUGUUAACACUGUUCACAUACUCAUACAUUACCAUACAUUAUCUGUUGAUGAUCUGCAGUGGUAUGUGACUGAAUUUCCAUACAUUUGAUAACAACAGUUUCACACUGCAAAGCAAAUUUGUGUUCACACUAUUCACAAAUACAGUAUAUUUAUACAUUAUCUGUAACUUAGCCGUAGUGGAACCUGACUGAAUUUCAAUACAUGUGAUAAUGUCUAUGCUAUCUUGAUUUCAGCCAUUAAAGCAAGGCCUACAGGGCAGGGUCAUGGUCACUAUUUGAGUUACAAGGGUCAAAUCAGGGUCAUGUCUGUUACUCACCCCGGCAACACAAAGCUCAAGGAAAAGGUUGUUAACUUACAGCUGUCUUACGGCACAUGAACAUACUCAGAAUCGCUAUUCAUGUCAUAAACAAGUACAACAGCCACCGUGGGGAAAAACAACUGCCCUUCGCCAUCUGCGCCCAUUCAACAUAGGCUAUAUUUACGUAGUUAUUACCUCUAAACAAAAAAACUUUACAGGGUUCUCAUAGGCUUACAAUGUUGUUUUGAUUAUUGCUUGAACAGUCGCUAAGAUUAUAUUUUGUUUGUGAUAGUUGCAAAAUACCUAUCAUUGACAUAGGAUGUAACAAAGCUAGCCAAAGUGCCAUUUUACAGGGUGAAGUUGAAGUGUUUUUUAAGUAUAAUGCAGUUGAUUUACGACGAUGACACAAACAUUAUAUUA